AUUUCUUUCUUAUGAAAAUAAACCCAUUAGCGGCGCCAAGGAAGAACCCAGAACAACAAACCAAACAUCCAGAAACCUAGAGGCGGCGGCGUCGAUCUCCAUUGAGCUGGAGCUGAGGAAGAAGAAUCGGAGGCGUCCGCAGCUGCCACUCUGCCUGCAUGCCUUCCAGAAAACCUUUUGAAGCCCAUUUACAGGUAGCCAAUAACAAAGCCGUCGACGGCGACCUCCUCAACUGACACAGAGCACAUCAGCAAAAAAACCUUCAUAAUUUCUUUGUAUUCGCUGUUCUUCGGAGACAUGGAAGAGCAGGUGUAUGAUUGCAGUUGAUUCAGUUUGAAAUCAUGCGAAACCAAAAUAACUGAAUGACUGAAACGAUUAAUUGGGUCGUUUCUUUCUUAAUUUGAACGUUAGAGGGUUUUCACUAGCGGCCUUCCUAGUGAAUUUCUAUUAUUUUCGUUUGUUUGCCGAUCCCUAGUUAAGAUUUGCUUAUGGGAUCCUUUAUUGAUGAAGCUAUAAUCAAGAUUAAUCGAUUGGUUCUGUAUGUGAGAAUAGCACAAAAACAAUGUGUCUCUUCCUUUUGAAUUUGUAAAGGAAUGCGUUUCAUAUUGCGAAGAGAAAAAGAGAAGGAACUAUUUUUGGAAGAGAUCCAUUUGGCUAAAAAAAAAUGGAUAGUUAGUGGUUUACAACAUGAAAAUUUUACAUGAGUAAAUCUUUAGAAGAGUUAAUGAGAAAAUGAAGUGUUUUAAUUUA